AGGACGAACGCUGGCGGCGUGCUUAACACAUGCAAGUCGAGCGGAAAGGUCCUUCGGGGUACUCGAGCGGCGAACGGGUGAGUAACACGUGAGUAAUCUGCCCCUAGCUCUGGGAUAGCUCCGGGAAACCGGGAUUAAUACCAGAUACGACCACUUUAGACAUCUGUUGUGGUGGAAAGAAUUUCGGCUAGGGAUGAGCUCGCGGCCUAUCAGCUUGUUGGUGAGGUAACGGCUCACCAAGGCGACGACGGGUA
rnacentral:rRNA from 1 species